rnacentral:rRNA from 1 species
GACAGCGGCGGACGGGCCAGUACGCGUGGAUAACCUGCCUGACUCCCCGAGAUAACAGCUCGAAAGGGCUGCUGGUACCGGGUAAGCUCACGGAGUCGCAUGGCUCCGGGAGAAAAGGUCCUGCGGGGGACUGGGGUGAGAGGGGUCCACGGUCCAUUAGCUAGUUGGAGGGGUGGCGGCCCACCAAGGCGACGAUGGAUAACCGGCCUGAGAGGGCGACCGGGGGGGCUGGGACUGAUACACGGCCCACACUCCUACGGGAGGCAGCAGUCGGGAGGUUUGGGCAAUGGUCGAAAGGGCUGACCCAACAACACCGCGUGAGUGAAGGAGGCCUUCUGGUUGUAAAGCUGCUGUUACCCGUGAAGAACGGUACCCGCAGGAAAUGGUGGGUACUUGACGGUAGCGGGGGAGGAAGCUCCGGCUAACUACGUGCCAGCAGCCGCGGUAAUACGUAGGGAGCGAGCGUUGUCCGGAUUUAUUGGGCGUAAAGGGCGUGUAGGCGGCUUGUUAAGUCUGGAGUGAAAAUCCGGGGCUCAACCCCGGAACUGCUUCGGAGGCUGAUGAGCUUGAGUACUCUAAAGGGCAGUGGAAUUCCCGGUGUAGGGGGGGAAUGCGUAGAGAUCGGGAGGAACACCAGUGGCGAAGGCGACUGCCUGGGGAGAAACUGACGCUGAGGCGCAAAAACUGGGGGAGCAAACGGGAUUAGAUGCCCCGGUAGUCCCAGCCGGAAACGAUGAGUGCUACGUGUAGCGGGUGUGGGCCCCCGCUGUGCCGCAGUUAACGCAAUAAGCACUCCGCCUGGGGAGUACGGCCGCAAGGUUGAAACUCAAAGGAAUUGACGGGGGCCCGCACAAGCAGCGGAGCAUGUGGUUUAAUUCGAAGCAACGCGUAGAACCUUACCAGGGGUUGACAUGUAGCGAAUCCUCUAGAGAUGGGGGAGUGCUCCUUCGGGAGAGCGNUAACACAGGUGGUGCAUGGUCGUCCUCAGCUCGUGUCGUGAGAUGUUGGGUUAAGUCCCGCAACGAGCGCAACCCCUAUCGUAUGUUGCCAGCAGGUAAAGUUGGGCACUCAUGCGAGACUGCCGCUGACAAACCGGAGGAAGGUGGGGAUGACGUCAAAUCAUCAUGCCCCCCACGUCCUGGGCGACACACGUGUUACAAUGGGCGCCACAAAGCGAACCGAGACCGCGAGGUGGAGGAAACCGCAAAAGGCGUUCGUAGUUCAGAUCGCAGGCCGCAACUCGCCUGCGUGAAGCCGGAGUUGCUAGUAAUCGCGGAUCAGCACGCCGCGGUGAAUACGUUCCCGGGCCUUGUACACACCGCCCGUCACACCAUGGGAGCUGGUAACACCCGA